ACUUGCUUGCUUUUCUUUCAAACCUCUUUCAUUCUCAGUCACCUCAGCCAGAAAUUUCCUGCUUCAGAACUGAAGAACAUUGUGUGAUCUUCUGGAUAUUGGAAGAGAUCCGCUGGGCCAGGAGGGCAGGGUCACCACCGACACCGGAGUGUAAGACAUAGCUGAGGCGCUUAUUCACGAAUUUCAUCAGAUGUCACCUAAGCAAUCGCCCCAACCUCCUCGGCUUCCUCCUCCUCCGCCGGCCCCGGCACCCCAGAAACAGACUUUUAAAAGCCAUUCAACUAUCAUCUAUCUACUCAGCCCUUUUUGCUUAAGGUGACCAGGUGGUUUUACCUUGGACCUCCAGCAAGAACUACAAAGAAGAAAGGAGUCUGAAGAGUCAGUCAAGUUUUCUGUCUAGUCCAAGUAACACCCCUGU
rnacentral:lncRNA from 1 species